AAUGAACGCUGGCGGCGUGGUUAAGACAUGCAAGUCGAACGGUUUUUAUUGAAGGGCAACCGGAGUAUAAAAGCAGUGGCGAACGGGUGCGUAACACGUGAACAAUCUACCUCCAAGUGGGGAAUAGCUCGCCGAAAGGCGAAUUAAUACCGCAUGUGGUGGUUUCUCGCAUGAGAAGCUUACUAAAACNGGGACCGCAAGGCCUGUUGCUAGGAGAGGAGUUCGCGGCCUAUCAGGCAGUUGGCGAGGUAACGGCUCACCAAGGCUAAG
rnacentral:rRNA from 1 species